GUCCACGCCGUAAACGAUGGAUACUAGGUGCUGUGGGUAUUGACCCCUGCAGUGCCGUCGCUAACGCAUUAAGUAUCCCGCCUGGGAAGUACGGCCGCAAGGCUAAAACUCAAAGGAAUUGACGGGGCCCGCACAAGCGGUGGAGCAUGUGGUUUAAUUCGACGCAACGCGAAGAACCUUACCCAGACUUGACAUCGAUGGAACCUGGUGGAGACACCGGGGUGCCCUUCGGGGCCCAGAAGACAGGUGCUGCAUGGCUGUCGU
rnacentral:rRNA from 1 species